GUUGUGACUCAGUGGUACAGCGCUUGCCUAUCAUGUAUGAGGCUCGGGGUUCGAUUCCUGACACCACA
rnacentral:tRNA from 1 species